rfam:Camelus ferus unplaced genomic scaffold scaffold902, whole genome shotgun sequence.
GAGGGUAUAGCUCAGUAGUAGAGUGCAGUGCUUAGCGUGCACAAGGUCCUGGGUUCAAUCCCUGGUACCUCCA